GAUGAAGAACGUAGCGAAAUGCGAUAAGUAAUGUGAAUUGCAGAAUUCAGUGAAUCAUCGAAUCUUUGAACGCACCUUGCGCUCCUUGGUAUUCCUUGGAGCAUGCCUGUUUGAGUAUCAUGAGCAAAUCUCAAAGUCGAUCCUUUUGUUAAUUCAAUUGGUUUGCUUUGGACUUGGAGGCCUUGCAGAUUUCACCGUCUGCUCCUCUUAAAUGCAUUAGCUGGAUCUCAGUAUUAUGCUUGGUUCCACUCGGCGUGAUAAGUAUCACUCGCUGAGGACACUGUAAAAGGUGGCCAGGAAAAUACUGAUCGAACCGCUUCUAACGGUCUAUUAACUUAGACAAUGACCCUUAAGUUUGAUCUCAAAUCAGGUAGGACUACCCGCUGAACUUAAGCAUAUCAAUAGCGGAGGA
rnacentral:misc_RNA from 1 species